CAUUACACAUUAUUAUGCAUGGUCUCUUGAGCAUUUAAAUGGGAAUUCUUUCAGCUUCAUUUGGCUUCCAAUUUGUUUUGACUGUGGAAGCUGAUUAAUAUAGGUUAUAUCUGCCUGGCAAAAUCGAUGACCUGUAACUUACCAGUUACCAGGUUUUCGCAAAUGCAGUUCUUGCUUAACAAAUAAUAAUCUAUCCAUCAUCCUGUUCCCCACCCGAUCAAUGCUUUUGCAGCUAAAUAAGUUUUUUUAAUGCUUUUAUUGCAUUGUUUGAAUAGUUACCAGGUUUUUGCAAAUGCAGUUCUUGCUUAACAAAUAAUCAUCCAUCCAUCAUCCUGUUCCCCACCCGAUCAAUUGAUAUUUGAUAUCAAUUCCUACUUUGCCUUUUUAGGGUAGCUACUUGAGCUUUUGCAGCUAAAUAAGUUUUUUAAUGCUUUCAUUGCAUUGUUUGAAUAGUUGACAGAGUCUGGAUGCUGAUACAUGUAAAAUGGGCAAUGUCUGAAGUUGCGACCAGAAGCAGAUUCUAACUUGAUCUAGAUCAGUUGCCAUGGCAUUACUGCAGACAGACCUGCUUAUUGCAGUUUUAUCACUGGCAGUUCUGUAUUCUUUUGUCUCACCUGAUGCCCAAGGUAUUAUGCUAAUUGUCACUUUAUAAGUCAUCCAACUGGUGUAAAAUAUGCACUCAUUUUGUGUCUCGCUACAUCUUUCUUUCUGCACAUUUUGAGUUCUUAUAUCAAUAAAAGAAAGUAGAAUAUAGGCUGGUCUGUGGAGUCUUUUGGGCUUUAUUAUCAUAGGAUGGAAACUAUUAAGCGAAGAAUCAUUGUCCAUAGAGUGAAUGACCAGAAAGGUUUCAUGAAAGAAAUUUCCUGUGUACCUUUCUCCCCUCUCCCUAUCCGCAGAAAUGGAAUACAUUUUGGUUUCUCAUUCUUGUUCCACA
rnacentral:lncRNA from 1 species